UAGUGGCGAACGGGUGAGUAACACGUGGGCAAUCUGCCCUUCACUCUGGGACAAGCCCUGGAAACGGGGUCUAAUACCGGAUACGACCUGCCGAGGCAUCUCGGCGGGUGGAAAGCUCCGGCGGUGAAGGAUGAGCCCGCGGCCUAUCAGCUUGUUGGUGAGGUAACGGCUCACCAAGGCGACGACGGGUAGCCGGCCUGAGAGGGCGACCGGCCACACUGGGACUGAGACACGGCCCAGACUCCUACGGGAGGCAGCAGUGGGGAAUAUUGCACAAUGGGCGAAAGCCUGAUGCAGCGACGCCGCGUGAGGGAUGACGGCCUUCGGGUUGUAAACCUCUUUCAGCAGGGAAGAAGCGAAAGUGACGGUACCUGCAGAAGAAGCGCCGGCUAACUACGUGCCAGCAGCCGCGGUAAUACGUAGGGCGCAAGCGUUGUCCGGAAUUAUUGGGCGUAAAGAGCUCGUAGGCGGCUUGUCACGUCGGGUGUGAAAGCCCGGGGCUUAACCCCGGGUCUGCAUCCGAUACGGGCAGGCUAGAGUGUGGUAGGGGAGAUCGGAAUUCCUGGUGUAGCGGUGAAAUGCGCAGAUAUCAGGAGGAACACCGGUGGCGAAGGCGGAUCUCUGGGCCAUUACUGACGCUGAGGAGCGAAAGCGUGGGGAGCGAACAGGAUUAGAUACCCUGGUAGUCCACGCCGUAAACGUUGGGAACUAGGUGUUGGCGACAUUCCACGUCGUCGGUGCCGCAGCUAACGCAUUAAGUUCCCCGCCUGGGGAGUACGGCCGCAAGGCUAAAACUCAAAGGA
rnacentral:rRNA from 1 species